GGGGCCGAGGGGGCGCGGCUCCCGGCGGCCCCCGGGGCUGCGGGGUCUUGCCUACAGGCUUCUCGCAGUCGGCAGCUGAAAUCACCUCGUCUGCUCCCCACCGCUUGCCUGGUUCUGCAUCCCCACUCUGCCCAGGGGUCCCCUAUCUGAGCGCGCGGGAACCCGAAGAAAAGACUGAACCGCGUUAAAGCGGGGAGUGGCAGAGGCCUUUGGGCCUUUCGGAGCCCCUCUAAAAACAAGAACAAUAUGAAAAUGGCUUGAAUCCCGACUCCUUCACUGACUCGCCGUAAGAUCCUGUGGCUGCUGAGCCUCAAUUUUCUCCGUUGUACAAUGCAGACCUUGUCUGCAGAGCUGUUGCAUGCAGGUGGAGUUCCAUAGAUGCAGACUUGUGCCCAAGCGGAAGAGAAUGGAGGCCUCUACGGAGCUUCUUCGGGGUCUCUAGAACGUGCAGCUUGGCUCUUGGCCAACCCGCACUCCCUUGGAAACCCGGUGGAGAGAAUGUGGCAAGUCUAGGCUCCAAGCUGGCCCAGGGAUUAGGCCACUGUGUUUGGGGAUGGGCUUUCUGCUGCCUGCCAGGUCCCAGGCUCCCUCUUCCCUGGAUGGAGCUGGGGAACCCUGCCAAGUUCUCGCUCCAACCUUCCAACAUUCGUUUAUUCAGUGAAUAUUUAUCGAUGCCCGCUGGGGACUUUGGUGGCACUGGAAACAGAGUCGCACUUAGGCUUGCAACAGGGAGACCAAGGACUUUUUGUGCAAUCUCAACCGAAUAUGAUAACUGCGCUGGCGCCUCCCUGCAGCUGCUCUGGCCCCUCUCCAGGCUGCUCUGGGGCCUCGGAAACCCUGACCUGUUCCUGGUUCUCUAGAGGUCGUAGGAAAAACACCCACCCCUCACCCUGGUCUACAGGGUAUUCUUUUGUUGUUGUUGUAUUUAAGAUUUUAUUUAUUUAUUUGAGAGAGAGAGAGAGAGAGAGAACAUGAGAGGGGAGAGGUCAGAGGGAAAAGUAGACUCCCCACCAAGCAGAGAGCCCAAUGUGAGACUUGAUCCCAGGACUCCAGGAUCAUGACCUAAGCAGAAGGCAGUUGCUUAACCAACUGUGCCACCCAGGCGCCCUGUCUACAGGGUAGUCUUAUCAGGCCUGUGCCAACCUGUCCAGCCACAUCCCCCUGUACUCCCCUUAUCCCCAUCCAGCAACACUGGUCUUCCUUCUGUUCCUCAAAUGUUCUCACUUUACUUCCAACCACAGGGCCUUUACACUGGCUGUUUUCUGGUCUGGAAUGUCCUUCCAUCACAUCUCCCAAUACUAGCCUUUUCUGAUCAUUUAGGUCUUUGUUUAAAUGCCCCCUCCUCCAAGAGACCUUUCGGUACCCUGUCAUAUUUAUUAAAAAUAUGGCCCUGUUUUCUUUAUUUUAACUGUCACUCCUCUCUGAAAUUGCUCAACAUUUGGCCUAUGCUCACUCAGUCUUUGCAGAAUGUGUGAGCGGACACAGUGUGAGGUGUCAGAAGAACGGUAUCCCAAGACAGCCCAUGCCUUAAGGAGGCAACUGCCCUACUGUGGGAGAGGCAGAAGGGCUGGCACGAAGGACAAAUUGGGAAAUUACAAGGGCGGUAAAGAUGAAUAGGGUGUCUCACUGAAGGAAAAGCAGGGCAAUGUCCUAGAAGAGGUGAGGGAGAACCUGGGAUGUCCUGAUUCUUCGCCUCAUCUCCAUUCCGUGGCCCUCAUUCAUACCACUCUGGUCGGAUGGUCACCACCCCUCAAAAAUGCUUAUUCCUAUUAUUCCUCAUCCCUUAUUCCAGGGCCUCUGCCUGCCAUAUUUUCCUUCUCCUCUUGGCAUUCUUUCUUCUCCACUUCAUUUCCAUCUUGGCUCAAAUGCCUCCUUAGAGAAGUACUCCCUGACUGCGUCUCUACCUAAAGCAGGCCCCACCCCAUCUCUACUAAACUCUACCCCUCACACUGCUCCAUUUUUUUCUUCCUUGCAAAUUUUAAUAGACUUUACUUUAUUUUCUUUCUUGUCUGUCUCAAUCAGGAUGUCAGCUCUCCAAGAACAGGGAUCAUUGUCUGUCUUUUCACUGCUGAGUCCCCAGCUUCUAGAACAGUGUCUAGCACAUGGAAAGUGCUGGAAUAAAUAGCUGUGGGAUGUACAGGUGGUUGAACAAGCAGAGCAUCAUGGGGUAUGGCUGCAGGGUUUAGUGCUGAUGAACCUGGAGCAGGGACAGUCUCCAGAUACCACAGAUGAUGGGGAUGGAGGGCCUCCAGCACCUCCCUGAAGUUCGAACUUGACCCUGAGGAUUGUGGGUGCUGCUGACGGAUUCUUAGCAGAGGAGGAACUGAAUGAGGAUUCUUUCUCAAAAGGCUCUUUGCAAACCAAGUCUCCCACCAGCCAACUGGGGGUCAGAAAAAGAAAUGGGAGUAGAUUCAUCUGAUACUAGAAAGGCUAAAUGUAUCAACAAAGCUAAACUCAAAAACUUUGGGUUGAGGGGGACAAAAAAAAAAAAAAGUAGAAAAAAAUGAUACAGGGGCUCCUGGGUGGCUCAGUGAGUUAAAGCCUCUGCCUUUGGCUCAGGUCAUGAUCCCAGCUUCCUAGGAUCAUGCCCAGGAUAGUACUGCAUUGUGCCCCCAAAUAGGCUCUCUGCUCAGCGGGGAGCCUGCUUUCCUUCCUCUCUCUGCCUGCCUCUAGGCUGACUUGUGAUCUCUGUCUGUCAAAUAAAUAAAUAAAAUCUUUUUAAAAAGAAAGAAAGACAUGAUACAAUUUGACACUGCUUAUAUCAAUUACUGAAAAACAGAAAGUGAAACUAUGUAUCAAGUUUAUUUUUAAAAAGGGGCGGGGGCAGGGAGAAACAUGUUCCUGGUGUGCCUGGCACCCACGAUGAGGUGAGUGAGGUGAGUGAGGUCAUCUCCGUUCAAAUCCCGGCCCCACUACACACACGAACAGUACGAUUCUGCGAUUCUGGGCAAGCUAUUUCUCUGCUCUGUGCUUCAGUUUCUUCAUCUGUGAGACAGGCUGAUAGAGGGGCACCUGCCCUCAUAGGGCUGCUGGGAAGCUUAAAUGAAUUAAUUCUUGUAAAGCGCAGAACAAAGGGUCAGUUCAGUGUCAUCCUUUUUUUUUCCCCCCAGUGUCAUUCUUUUUAUUUAGGUUGUUGUUUCUGCAGUGGGGCAGUCAAGGGGAAGUGGGAAAGUGAACGUAGGUGACUUUUAUUUUAACUAUAAGGUGUGUCUUUUAAUUUUGAUCUUUGAUUGUUAAUUAUUUUGAUUGAGGCACAACUUAACAUCUGGUGAAGUGCACAGAUCCUUUGGUGUGAAGCUCUGUGAUUUAAAAAAUAUAUAUUAUUUAUUUAUUUAUUUAAGAAAGUCAGAAAGAGAGAGAGAAGAGGGAGGAGUAGAGGGAGAGGGCAAGUGGACUUUGCACUGAGCGACCCAGGGUUCCAUCCCAUGACACUUAGAUCAUGACCUGAGCUGCAAUCAGUAGUCAGAAGCUUAACCAACUGAGCCACCCAGGUCCCCCACUCUGUGAAUUUUUAUAUAUGUCUGCACAUACAUAUAUGUGGCCUAUGGCCACCGUCUCGUCUUCUCCCCAUUGUAUGCAUUUGACUUGUGUCUUUUGCCAGGCAACCUUAGGGAAAUUCUAUCAUCAUAGAUUAAUUUUGCCUGUACUUGAAUUUCGUACCACAUGGGAUUGUUUUAUAAUUUUUUUAAAUUUAUUUUUUCGACAGACAGAGAUCACAAGUAGGCAGAGAGGCAGGUAGAGAGAGAGGAGGAAGCAGGCUCCCCGCCAAGGAGAGAGCCCGAUGUGGGGCUCGAUCCCAGGACCCUGGGAUCAUGACCUGAGCCGAAGGCAGAGGCUUAACCCUCUGAGCCACCCAGGGGCCUCUGUUUUAUGAUUUUUUAAAAAUAUCUGUGUUUUUUAUGCCUGGAUUCUUUCACUCAACAUGUUUUGUUUUUUCUAUUGAAAUUAAAUUCAUGUACCAUAAAAUUUCCCUUUCUUAAGUGUACGAUCUGUCUGAUUUUUCAAUAUAUUCACAAAAACAUGAUUUUUAUUAAUUUUACUUAUUUAUUUUUCGUACACCCAACUUGGGGCUCGAACUCAUGACCCCGAUCAAGAGUCAUGCUUUUCAGGGCGCCUGGGUGGCUCAGUGGUUUGGGCUGCUGCCUUCGGCUCAGGUCAUGAUCUCGGGGUCCUGGGAUUGAGUCCCGCAUCAGGCUGCUGAGCGGGGAGCCUGCUUUCCUCUCUCUCUGCCUGCCUCUCUGUCUACUGUGAUCUCUCUCUGUCAAAUAAAUAAAUAACAUCUUUAAAAAAUAAUAAUAAAUUUAAAAAAAAAAAGAGUCAUGCUUUUCAGACUGAGCCAGCCAGGUGCCCCAAGAACAUGAUGUGUUUUUGAGAUUCAUCCAUGAUAUUGUAUAUAUCAAUAAUUUAUUCCUUUUUACAUGCCAGGAUAUGGAUGGACCACAGUUUCUUCUUUUAUUAAUAGUUGAUUAUGUAUGUAUAUAUGUAUGAAUGUAUGAGUGUGUGUAUGUAUUUAAUUGAAUAUAGUUGACAUAAAUAUUAUGUUGUAUGUAAUAUUAAUUUCAGAUGUACAAUAUAGUGACUUGACAAUUAUAUGCAUUAUGAAAUGCUCCCCACUGAUGAAUAGUUACCAUCUGUUCCCAUACAAAUUGUUGUCUAUAUUCCAUAUGCUGUACUUUUCGUCCUGUGACUUAUUUAUUUUAAAACUGGAAGUUUGGGGGCGCUUGGGUGGCUCAGUGGGUUGAGCCGCUGCCUUCGGCUCGGGUCGGGAUCUCGGGGUCCUGGGAUCGAGUCCCGCGUCGGGCUUUCUGCUCAGCAGGGAGCCUGCUUCCCUCUCUCUCUCUGCCUGCCUCUCUGUCUGCUGUGAUCUCUGUCUGUCAAAUAAACAAAUAAAAUCUUUAAAAAAAAAA